rnacentral:rRNA from 1 species
GGAUGCGCAGCUACACAUGCAAGUCGAGCGAACCUUCGGGUUAGCGGCGGACGGGUGAGUAACGCGUGGGAACGUACCCUCUUCUGCGGGAUAGCCACUGGAAACGGUGAGUAAUACCGCAUACGCCCUUCGGGGGAAAGAUUUAUCGGAGGAGGAUCGGCCCGCGUUGGAUUAGGUAGUUGGUGGGGUAAUGGCCUACCAAGCCUACGAUCCAUAGCUGGUUUUAGAGGAUGAUCAGCCACACUGGGACUGAGACACGGCCCAGACUCCUACGGGAGGCAGCAGUGGGGAAUCUUAGACAAUGGGCGCAAGCCUGAUCUAGCCAUGCCGCGUGAGUGACGAAGGCCUUAGGGUCGUAAAGCUCUUUCGCCAGAGAUGAUAAUGACAGUAUCUGGUAAAGAAACCCCGGCUAACUCCGUGCCAGCAGCCGCGGUAAUACGGAGGGGGUUAGCGUUGUUCGGAAUUACUGGGCGUAAAGCGCACGUAGGCGGAUUGGAAAGUUGGGGGUGAAAUCCCAGGGCUCAACCCUGGAACUGCCUCCAAAACUCCCAGUCUGGAGUUCGAGAGAGGUGAGUGGAAUUCCGAGUGUAGAGGUGAAAUUCGUAGAUAUUCGGAGGAACACCAGUGGCGAAGGCGGCUCACUGGCUCGAUACUGACGCU